rnacentral:rRNA from 1 species
UAACACCAGCGCCACAAGUGGGAAUCGUGUAUUUGGCCUAAAGCGUCCGUAGCCGGUUUGGCAAAUUUUCUGUGAAAUUGUCCAGCUCAACUGGACAGCGUGCAGGAAACACUACCAGACUUGGAACCGGGAGGGGUACAGAGUAUUCCAGGGGGAGCGGUAAAAUGCUAUAAUCCCUGGAGGACUACCUAUGGCGAAGGCACUGUACCAGAACGGAUUCGACGGUGAGGGACGAAAGCCAGGGGAGCGAUCCGGAUUAGAUACCCGAGUAGUCCUGGCUGUAAACUCUGCGAGCUAGGUGUUGCAUAUUCCACGUGAAUAUGCAGUAUCGUAAUGAAGAUGUUUAGCUCGCCGCCUGGGAAGUAUGGUCGCAAGGCUG